rnacentral:rRNA from 1 species
UACGGAGGAUGCAAGCGUUAUCCGGAAUGAUUGGGCGUAAAGCGUCCGCAGGUGGCUGUGUAAGUCUGCUGUCAAAGAGCAAAGCUCAACUUUGUAAAGGCAGUGGAAACUACACGGCUAGAGUGCGUUCGGGGCAGAGGGAAUUCCUGGUGUAGCGAUGAAAUGCGUAGAGAUCAGGAGGAACACCAGUGGCGAAGGCGACUUCCUGGCCUGUUCUUGACGCUGGAGGCGCGAAAGCUAGGGGAGCAAACGGG